UCUGGGUCGGGGUUUCGUACGUA
rnacentral:piRNA from 4 species